UACGGGGGGAGCAAGCGUUGUUCGGAUUUACUGGGCGUAAAGGGCGCGUAGGCGGUCAGCACAAGUCAGUUGUGAAAUCUCCGAGCUUAACUCGGAAAGGUCAGCCGAUACUGCGGGGCUAGAGUGCAGAAGGGGCAACUGGAAUUCUCGGUGUAGCGGUGAAAUGCGUAGAUAUCGAGAGGAACACCUGGCGGCGAAGGCGGGUUGCUGGGCUGACACUGACGCUGGAGGCGCGAAAGCUAGGGGAGCGAACGGG
rnacentral:rRNA from 1 species